rnacentral:misc_RNA from 1 species
CCUCGCUCUCUCUCUCUCUCUCUCGCUUUCCAUUAAAGUGAAGAGUGUAGUAAUAUUCUAGGGGAGAGCUCUCUUUACUUACCAACACAGCCUGUUCAACUUGGUUCCUAGUAUUUGUUAUAUGGCUGCGUGGAUUAUGUCCUCCUUCAAUUGGGCAACACAUGUAUAUUUGCGGCAAUUUUUUUUUAGUCCCUUUGUUAAUUUAGGAAUGGACAGAAAUUGCAUAGCUGGAUUCGUGAUUCAUUUAUUGUUUUGGGUUUUGUAGGUAUUAUAUUUUGCAUGUGAACUUAAUUGAUGCAUGAAAAUGCUGGUCCAGUUAAUAUGAAUGAAAUGGAUAUCUCCAUCUUAUUUGAGAACGAGUUUUAUAUAGCCGCCCCAUCAUAUAGGUUGUAAGUUUUAUAUUGUACUUUUUUUAAAAAAAAUCAAUAUAUGUAAAUAUAAAAUGUGGUUUUUGUAGCGAAAAAU